rnacentral:tRNA from 1 species
GCCUUCGUGGUGUAACGGUAGCACACUUGGCGCGUAGUGGAGAUUUCCAAGUUCGAGUCCCGGCGAGGGCA